CCCUUCAUCCCCUACCUAGUAGUGAAGAUCUGUUAGGGCACAGUAGCUGUCGACAUUAUAGUUGCGCAGGAACUUUGGUGACUCUAGAGAACCUCGGGCCAAUCGUGCGUCCCCGUGACAGCAACUUUGCAUUCGGAUGUCUGCCCUAUCAACUUUCGAUGACACUUUCUGCACCUACCAUGGUGACCACGGGUAAUGGGGAAUCAGGGUUCGAUUCUGGAGAGGGAGCCUGAGAAAUGGCUACCACAUCCAAGGAAGUCAGCAGG